AGCUAUCUAGGAGCUGCCUUUUUUGUGACGGUCCAGGGUAUGCAAUGGGGAAGGCAAAUGAAGCCUCCUACAUAGCUCCAGCCAUCCCAAACCCCUGCCUAGCGCCUCCACGUGGCCUUACCCGCUCAUGAAGCACCUUCUACUGUACAGUGAAAAUUCUGACUGAAAAAAAAAUUUUAAUAAUGCUGAUGGAUACCAGAAGA